AAGCUUUUGGCUCGGGUUAUAUUUGAAAAUGGCAGUGUAUAAGACGAGCAAAAAGCUUGU
rnacentral:pre_miRNA from 1 species